AUGCAGGUUGUCAGAUAAAUUCUUCUCAUUCUAUAUCUUAUACAGGUGCCUCGGCCGUCCAAACAUUGUAAGGGACAUUCUAGGAUUUUAAUUUGACAUAAAAUCUUUAUUAUUUCUACAAUGUCUCAAGACUCUCAACAAGGCUGGGGUGAAUAUGCUGCAGCUAUGUGCUGGACAAUGUCGCCACCGCCGAAUUCGCCGGAAGAUAUCCGCCGUCCGAACGUGCUCCACCUGAGGUAUGUAACAUUAGCUUUUCCCAACUUAUUCUGUAAAAUUUCAUCUACAAUCAUAAAAAGUAUAGUCCCCCUUGGUCUGGUCUGAAAGACACAUAUUUGGGUACAUAGGUUUCAGUGAUUGAAGAUAUUGCAUUGCUAUAUUGGUGAAUAAGUUCAUGAACAAAUGAAAUUGGAAGAUACACAAGAUGGUCCAGAUAUCACAAAAGAUAGUGGAGGAAGCGUAGUAGGUUGCUUUUCCAUUACAUACAGUGAUCAGAAUUAAUGCUUUGCCCUUGUGCUGUAGGAGUAGGACACACCUUUCUGCAGAUACGUGUCCACAUGCAUCAUGCUUUAAGUAUCUGCUUUCAUGGGGUAACUUCGGUAUGUUUCUUAAGAGGAUGUGACUGGAAAAUAUUCUAUGGCUCACAACAUGAGUAAGCAUCUAAUAAAAGUUUAAGUUUUGGUGUUUGCUAAAUUUCGGUUCUGAUUCGGAAGAUACAUACAUUAUUUUUUGAGUUUGCUUUACUUAGAGUAUGAACUUAUGCUUUUCAAAGAUACACGUUCAAGCUGAAGAGUUAAGUGUAUUAGCUUGGCUUGGACUCGGGGGUUUGUCCAAACGUAGCUUUAUGAUUUUUACUCUACGUAUGCAAUUACAAUCUUCACAAAUAAGGAUGGAGAGGGGAAGAAAAAUGUUGGUGGACAAAAAAAGGAAGUGCCUAGAACGUGCAAGAAUUGUAAUCAGGUUGGCUUCCAUGAUAGCGUAAUUGCCCUAACAAUGACUAAGAAAACUACUGGUACUUUUCAUGGCCAUACAAUUUAUUUUUCUUUCAAAAAUGUUGAUGCACACACAAACUUAUUUGUUUAUGUCAAACUGCAGGUCUUGUUCCAACUCCAGGACGCAUUUCGGCACGACAACUUGGCGUUGAAGCUCAUGUGUUGGACGGAUUUUACAUGAACUUUGUGCUUUAUAUUUCCUAGAAGAUUAUCUAUUU
rnacentral:lncRNA from 1 species